UUAAGAGGCUGUCUACGAUAGAACCAUGCAAAACCAAAAAAAUAUUAUGGAAGGUGUUGUCAAAUUUUCAGACCUUUUUAUGAUAUUUCAGAAGUAUUUUACUAGUUAUAUCAUAUUUUGUGGCAAAAUCGAUGAGUACCUCCCGAACUAACACCUAAUGGGCCGUUCUAUUUUUAGCACAAUAUACACAUCAAAUUCACGCAAAAAUGGUGUAUUUUCAGCUAGUCAUUAGAAUAUCAAAAGCAGAAUAAUCACAUAUAAUUUCAGUUCCGCAUAGUCUAUUUGAACGGUACCUUUGAAUUGGUGAACAUAACUUUAAAAUUCAUUUUCCAGAUUUAAGUCGUAUAGUGUUUGAACUAGUAAGAUUAUGUAACUUUCAAAUCAAAUGCUAUUUUUAGUGAGUCAUAAAACCCCAAGAAACGCUUAAAAUAAAUAGUUUCGUGGUUUAAAACACAGAAUUAUGCAUAAAUUAUCACUACUAAACGGGAAUUUGGUUGCAAAUAAAUAGAAAGUCAUUUAUUUGGGGUAUGAAAUUCGGAAAUUUUAUCAAAAAAUUAUCUCCCUUUGUGGAACUCUCAUGGGAAGAAGGUAAGGAAAAAUGAUUAAUAAGGCAGAUGACAACAACAUGGAAUUGGUGGAAAGUGAUGGAAGAUGAAUUUAUAGCCUUGGUGAAAAUUUCAAGGAAAGAGGGUGUUUAUUUACAUCAGGAUUGCAAGAAGUAUACUUCAGCACAAUUGAGAUUUUUAAAUGUCCAUCCGAAAUUGUGUGAAUUCCAGAAUCUUUGUUCACUGCACUGCACAGCUGGUGUGCAUUAACUAUGAUCUAGACUUAACAGACAUCAUCAUGCCUAUGCCAAUCAUGGACAUUGACUUUGAAUAAAGAACAACAUGUUGUCACCCAUUACAUGACAAAUCUAACUCAGAUGUGAAAGAGGGGGGGGGGGGGGAUGACUCCGUGACUCCAAAGUCGAUAUAUCUGCCACAUUACUCAAGCUGACAACACAUGUUCCAUUGAUUCUGGUAAGUUAAAUUGUUUUUAUAUCUUCCUGCACUAACAGAUAUUGAAAUAUGCACUUAUGCAUAAAUACUCAUAGAUGAAAUCUAUAAAAUUUUACUUCUAUUUUUCUAUUUAAAAUUUUUAAGAUAUCAAUUUGCUGAAUGCACAAUUUUCUAGAUUAAAAUACUGUUACAAUAUAUUUAGGAAAUAUAAUGAAAUAUAUGUGUUUGGUGUUUGCAGACAAGACAAUGCAUUGAGAAACACAAAAAUUGUGUCCAUAUUAAGACAGAUGUAAAGAAAGAGUUGAAAGAUGUUUCUGAAGUAAGACAGUCAUACCCCUGCUUUCCAAGGAACCAAACAAUUACUUUCCUUGUAUUGACGUGGUGAAAAAUGGGGAGGGUCCAGAAAAUGACAAAGACCUCCAGAAUGUCAUCAGUGAUAUUGUUGCAAUUGAAUGUAACCAAUUAUUAUCCAAUAUAUAUUAUCUAUGACUGAACUCAUAAGUGGUUAAGGAAAACUGUUUUAAUUUUUUAGUCACUGCUUGGAGGUUAUUUUACAUUUCUCAGGCUUUUCUAGAUGUCAGAUUUCCUAAAACUCACACUUGUGCUUUAAUUUUUUUUUUUUUUUUUUUUUGGUAUAAAUGUACAGAAAAAUUGAAUGUUCUUCUAUGGGAUAGUUUUGCCAAUAGUUUCAGUUGAAAGUUACAACAAAAAAGAAGAAGAAGAAAAAAAAGAAAAAAGAAUUGCAAUGAUUAAAUCUCUAUGUUUAUAAUGAAUGUAUCUUUCAUGAUCUUGUAUGUGAUGUUCAUGAAUUUUUUUUACAUUACCUGACUUACAGUGUAAUAUCAACCCCCCCCCCCCCCCCCCCCAUCCUUUAUGGCUUUACUUACAAUAAAACUACAUAUGCAGAGUGAAUUUAAAACAUGAGAGAUAUAUCAUAUGUUGUAAUUGCCUGCUGAAUUUGAUAGAAAGCAAAAACGCUUUGAACACACGAUUCUUGUACAUGGCUACAAUAAAUGUACUAUUUAUUGGUGGAAGGUAAUGGUGGAAGAUGUUUUCAAAAUAACCCCUCUCCCUCCAAUAUUGGGUCAAAGUACAACAAACAAUAAUUUUUACCCUUCAUUAAUGCUUAUGCAUGACAUGUGCAAUGAUAUUAUUACGUUAUCUGAAGAUUUUAACUCUACAAAACCGACAUUAUCACCCCCCCCCCCUUUUUUUCUCUUACAUACCCCCCCCCCCCCCCCAAUAUACCACUAAAUUUCAUUUGCAACCAAAUUCCCUUUAACAUGUAUUAGAAAUUGAUAGGUUCUACACAUGUAUCAAAUAUGAUGUCUAUUGAAGCGUUUCUUGGGCAACUAUACCUGUUUCAGUGCAAAUAGGUGAAAUUAGGUAAAAUUUCAGCAUUUCCUUCAUUUUGAAAUUUUGAUAUUUUAUUGCACUGUGUAUUAAAUUUUGAUUGCUUAUGUGUUAUUAAUUCCUAUUUGUCUCUGCAAUAUCAUGAAAUAGGUAUCAUUAAAUUGCAAGACAUGGGUUUUGCAAUAAACCAAAAAGAAA